rnacentral:rRNA from 1 species
AAAAGUUAUAAAUCUAGGUUUAUCAAAGAUACAAACAAUAAAAUCGUUUUAAAGAGAAAACACUUCCAUAAGCUAGUAAACUCAUUUGAAAGCUCAUUUAACCGAAAGAGACAGUACCGCAAGGGAAAGAUGAAAUAACUUUAAUUUUAUAGACCUAAAAUAGGAAAGAUAACCUUUUUUACCUUGUGUAUAAUGGAUUAACAAGCGUAAGGAAAAGUUGCUCCAACCCCGAAACUGGGCGAGCUAGCCUUCCCUUCUUUUAAGAGGAACUAAGCCACUGUUGCAAUAGUGGGAAAAAAGGAAAGGCUAGAUGUGAAAUGCUAACCGCGUCCAGAAAUAGCUGGCUCCCCAAGAAAUUAGUUUAAGCUAAGCCUUUGUAUGAAAAAUAAAACUUUCUUUAAUUAUUAUAAAAGGACCGUUUAAAGUUUUUAAAAUAAAGGUCAGGGCUUUAGGGACAAGCUUAAAGCCCAAAAUGGAAAACUCCAAUAUUAAUAGCUAAAGACAAUAAGAUCUUAAAAUAGUUACCAUCUAAGGAGUAGGCCUAGAAGCAGCCACCUAAUAAGAAAGCGUUAAAGAUCAAUUGUUCUUCCCAACUAAAAAAUCCUUGAAGAAUUCUCUAAAGCUGUAAAAAUUUAUUGGGGCAUUCUGUUUUCAGAAGAGACAAUGUUAAUAUGAGUAAGAAAAUCUUCGCCUGCGUCAUAUACGACUUUUACCUUGGAAGAAAAAACAUUGAGACACUAAAAACCUUGUUUUAUAAGUCGUCUUCCAACUCAGGAGAAGAACAUAAGUAAUAAAUGGGAAAAAGGAACUCGGCAAAUAUUGGUUUCGCCUGUUUACCAAAAACAUCGCUCCUUGAAGCUACAACACAUAAGGAGUCCUGCCUGCCCAGUGACUAGAGGUUAAACGGCCGCGGUAUCUUGACCGUGCGAAGGUAGCAUAAUCAUUUGUCUCCUAAAUAGAGACUAGUAUGAAUGGCAAGACGGAACCAAACUGUCUCUUUUCCACAACUCUGAAUUUCACCUCCCCGUGAAGAGGCGGGGAUUAAAUCGCUAGACGAGAAGACCCUGUCGAGCUUAUAGCGAAAACCGAACCUUUAGUAUAUUUUACACUUCGCUAAUCCAUAGAAUUACGGAGUAAUAAGAUUUUAAAGGAUUUGCAAAAGCUUUGGUUGGGGCAACCACGGAGUAAGAAAACCCUCCGAUACUAAGAGUAACUAUACUAAGAACAACAAUUCUAAAAUCAACAAUGAAAGUAUGAUCCACCAAGGUGAUCAAAGGAACAAGUUACCGCAGGGAUAACAGCGUUAUCUUUUCUGAGAGUUCACAUUGACGAAAAGGUUUGCGACCUCGAUGUUGGAUCGGGACAUCCUAAGGGUGCAGAAGCUUUUAAGGGUUGGUCUGUUCGACCAUUAAAGUCCUACGUGAUCUGAGUUCAGACCGGCGAGAGCCAGGUCAGUUUCUAUCUACGACAAAUAUCUUUCUUAGUACGAAAGGACCAGAAAGAAAGUGUCCAUGCACCAGAUGUAAACACUUGAAAUUAAAAAC